AAAGCCAACAAUGUUAAGGAAGUCCGGCUAAUAAACAGGUUCCAUUUGAAAUAUCUUCAGAAACCAGGGGGAGAUGUAAAGAGGAAUGGCAUAGCAACUAAGUCAGCCAAUUGGGAGCUGAAACAGACUGGAGUCAGGGCAUGUCUUAGUCUGCAGCUUCUGAUUCUAUGCAGAGAAGAGAAACUGAAACCAGUGUGUGUGAACUUGUCUGCUGAUCUGAGCUGAAAUUAAACUGUGAAUCUGC